rnacentral:rRNA from 1 species
UAUGUAGGGUGCGAGCGUUGUCCGGAAUUAUUGGGCGUAAAGAGCUUGUAGGCGGUUUGUCGCGUCUGCUGUGAAAUCUCAAGGCUCAACCUUGAGCUUGCAGUGGGUACGGGCAGACUAGAGUGUGGUAGGGGAGACUGGAAUUCCUGGUGUAGCGGUGAAAUGCGCAGAUAUCAGGAGGAACACCGAUGGCGAAGGCAGGUCUCUGGGCCACUACUGACGCUGAGAAGCGAAAGCAUGGGGAGCGAACAGG